GCCAAACCCCUUCCACAAUAUUAUAGUAGGGCUCAUGAACCACUUCCUAGCUGACCAAAUGAUCCCCUCUUAAAGUCUCCUAUUCUAAAGAACAUCCAUCAUGAACUUCUCAAUCUUAGCAUUCACCUACAUGAGAAUACUAAAUAAAGACAAAAUCAAGCAGAACAUUAUAUAGACAAGUUUCAAUAAGACACCAAACAAGGGAAAAGAAGAGGCGCCUUUCCACCCAUCUAAUCUUGAAGAAAUGCUCACAUUCAUAGGAGAUGCCAACAAGCAAUCAACCUAUAAUUACCUCCCAAUACAACUCAUAUGUUAAGAGUCUUAUCCUCAAUCAAACAUUGCCAAAGAAGGAAAAGUAUCUCAAACCUUAUGAAGCAUUACCAACAAAAACAUUUUUAUAUACAUUGAUCCUCAAGCAAUAAUCCCACCCCAAAAAUCUAUAAUAAGAUUAAAAACUGAGAAAGUGAAGUAACAAAAAGAAAAUAACAAUAACAACAAAAACUAUAGGUAAAAGACAAAAACAACUUGAAAAACCUGAUGAGUUAGACCCCUCUCAAUACUCCUGCUUACCAUCUACUUAUUAAAUUCAAUAUAAGAGUACCAACUGCAUGAUAAAUACCACUCAAUACUCCUCAACAUUAAUUUAAGAAUUACCCACCAUAAGA
rnacentral:misc_RNA from 1 species